CUGCAUGUAGACAUGACUGUUCCUCAUUCCUUUGGGAACAAGAAUAUAUCUAUAACAUAUGCUAUAUUUUAAAACAAUUCUUUUUUAAAAAA